CCCCAAACUAAAAAACACAAGAAUGCUAGGUGGGAUGACCUGCACCAUGUUUCCUUUGCAGGAUGUCAUGUUUGGCCUCAAGUUUCCCUCACCUAGAAGAGAAGUUAUGGGUACCAAAAAGAUUUGCAGGAUGACAUAUUUAAGUAUGCACCGAGCUAGUGACCUUUAUGGUCUACCAUGAAGAGUAGUCUAGGGCCACGAAGGAACAAGAAGCGAGUAAGUUACCUUAGCCAAGAAUCAAGAACCUCUUAAGACCUCCCACGGUUCAACAUUCUCAUGACUUAGACUAUGCUAAUCAACAACUGAAUUUCACACCACCAAUUAAACGGAAAUCAAGAAGACGUUACAAAGAUGAGGCGUUUCACAGAUAUAAAAUGGGGAACUGAUAUCCAAACAUUCCA